rnacentral:misc_RNA from 1 species
GAUGAAGAACGUAGCGAAAUGCGAUACGUAAUGUGAAUUGCAGAAUUCAGUGAAUCAUCGAAUCUUUGAACGCAUAUUGCGCUCUCUGGUAUUCCGGAGAGCAUGCUUGUUUGAGUAUCAGUAAACACCUCAACUUCCAUAUCUUUUUUGGAAUGGGAGUUGGACUUGAGUGAUCCCAACGCUUUUCCUCACCGAAAAGUGGCGGGUUACUUGAAAUGCAGGUGCAGCUGGACUUUUCUCUGAGCUAUAAGCAUAUCUAUUUAGUCUGCCUAAAAAACAGAUUAUUACCUUUGCUGCAGCUAACAUAAAGGAGAUUAGUUCUUGUGCUGACUGAUGCAGGAUUCACAAAGACGGCUUCGGCCGACUUUGUAAACUCGAUCUCAAAUCAAGUAAGACUACCCGCUGAACUUAAGCAUAUCAAUAAGCGGAGGA